rnacentral:rRNA from 1 species
UACGUAGGGGCCGAGCGUUGUCCGGAGUUAUUGGGCGUAAAGCGCGCGCAGGCGGCCUCGCGCGCCCGACGUGAAAGCCCCCGGCUUAACCGGGGAGGGUCGUUGGGGACGGCGGGGCUUGAGGGCGGGAGAGGGUGGUGGAAUUCCCGGUGUAGUGGUGAAAUGCGUAGAGAUCGGGAGGAACACCGGUGGCGAAGGCGGGUCUCUGGGCCGAUACUGACGCUGAGGAGCGAAAGCGUGGGGAGCGAACAGG